rnacentral:tRNA from 1 species
AAGAAAUUAGUUUAAAUAAAACAUUAAUUUGUCAAAUUAAAAAUAUUAAAUAUAAUAUUUCUUA